CCUACGGGUGGCAGCAGUGAGGAAUAUUGGUCAAUGGCCGGAAGGCUGAACCAGCCAUGCCGCGUGAAGGUCAGUGCCCUAUGGGCGUUAAACUUCUUUUGUGCGGGAGCAAUAAUGGUCACGUGUGGCCAGACGAGAGUACCGUACGAAUAAGCAUCGGCUAACUCCGUGCCAGCAGCCGCGGUAAUACGGGGGAUGCAAGCGUUAUCCGGAUUUAUUGGGGUUAAAGGGUGCGUAGGCUGUGAGGUAAGUCAGCGGUGAAAUGCCCCCGCUCAACGGGGUGAAGUGCCAUUGAUACUGGCUUGCUGGAAUGCGGAUGAGGUGGGAGGAAUGUGAGGUGUAGCGGUGAAAUGCAUAGAGAUCACACAGAACACCGAUUGCGAAGGCAUCUCACGAAUCCGCGAUUGACGCUGAUGCACGAAAGCGUGGGUAUCAAACAGGAUUAGAUACCCUAGUAGUC
rnacentral:rRNA from 1 species